rnacentral:rRNA from 1 species
GACGAACGCUGGCGGCGUGCUUAACACAUGCAAGUCGAACGGAAAGGCCCUGCUUUUGUGGGGUGCUCGAGUGGCGAACGGGUGAGUAACACGUGAGUAACCUGCCCUUGACUUUGGGAUAACUUCAGGAAACUGGGGCUAAUACCGGAUAGGAGCUCCUGCUGCAUGGUGGGGGUUGGAAAGUUUCGGCGGUUGGGGAUGGACUCGCGGCUUAUCAGCUUGUUGGUGGGGUAGUGGCUUACCAAGGCUUUGACGGGUAGCCGGCCUGAGGGGGUGACCGGCCACAUUGGGACUGAGAUACGGCCCAGACUCCUACGGGAGGCAGCAGUGGGGAAUAUUGCACAAUGGGCGGAAGCCUGAUGCAGCAACGCCGCGUGCGGGGUGACGGCCUUCGGGUUGUAAACCGCUUUCGCCUGUGACGAAGCGUGAGUGACGGUAAUGGGUAAAGAAGCACCGGCUAACUACGUG